CCUACGGGAGGCAGCAGUAGGGAAUCUUGCUCAAUGGGGGGAACCCUGAAGCAGCAACGCCGCGUGAGGGAUGAAGGUUUUCGGAUUGUAAACUCCUGUUGUUAGAGAAGAUAGUGACGGUGUCUGACGAAUAAGCACCGGCUUACUCCGUGCCAGCAACCGCGGUAAUACGGAGGGUGCAGGCGGUACUCGGAAUCACUGGGCGUAAAGGGCGCGUAGGCCGGUUAGCAAGUCAGAUGUGAAAUCCUAUGGCUUAACCAUAAAACUGCAUUUGAAACUGUUAUUCUAGAGUAUGGGAGAGGUAGGUGGAAUUCUAGGUGUAGGGGUAAAAUGCGUAGAGAUCAAGAGGAAUACUCAUGGCGAAGGCGACCUGCUAGAACAUAACUGACGCUGAUGCGCGAAAGCGUGGGGAGCAAACAGGAUUAGAUACCCGUGUAGUC
rnacentral:rRNA from 1 species